GAUGAACGCUGGCGGCGUGCCUAAUACAUGCAAGUCGAGCGAACGGACGAGAAGCUUGCUUCUCUGAUGUUAGCGGCGGACGGGUGAGUAACACGUGGAUAACCUACCUAUAAGACUGGGAUAACUUCGGGAAACCGGAGCUAAUACCGGAUAAUAUUUUGAACCGCAUGGUUCAAAAGUGAAAGACGGUCUUGCUGUCACUUAUAGAUGGAUCCGCGCUGCAUUAGCUAGUUGGUAAGGUAACGGCUUACCAAGGCAACGAUGCAUAGCCUGAAAGGGUGAUCGGCCACACGGGAACUGAGACACGGUCCAGACUCCGACGGGAGGAAGCAGUAGGGAAUCUUCCGCAAGGGGGGAAAGCCUGACGGAGCAACGCCGCGUGAGUGAUGAAGGUCUUCGGAUCGGAAAACUCUGUUAUUAGGGAAGAACAAAUGUGUAAGUAACUGUGCACAUCUUGACGGUACCGAAUCAGAAAGCCACGGCUAACUACGUG
rnacentral:rRNA from 1 species